rnacentral:rRNA from 1 species
UACGUAGGGGGGCAAGCGUUGUCCGGAAUCAUUGGGCGUAAAGAGCGUGUAGGCGGCCCGAUAAGUCCGCUGUGAAAGUCCAGGGCUCAACCCUGGGAUGCCGGUGGAUACUGUCGGGCUCGAGUCCGGAAGAGGCGAGUGGAAUUCCUGGUGUAGCGGUGAAAUGCGCAGAUAUCAGGAGGAACACCAAUGGCGAAGGCAGCUCGCUGGGACGUGACUGACGCUGAGACGCGAAAGCGUGGGGAGCAAACAGG